rnacentral:sRNA from 1 species
AUAGAAAAAAUAAAAAUAAAUUGCUAAAGAAAAUAAUUAAAUUGCUGCUUGAAAGUUUAUUUUUUAUUGGAAAAGGAAAUAGCAAAAAGAGAAUUUGCGAAAAGCGAAAAAGAAAUGCAAAAUUUUAUCUACAAGCAAAAAAUUUAUAUCUAAGGAAAAGUGCAUCUCAAAGAAAAGAGAGAAAAUAAUUAAAUUGCAAAGCAGUGUAAUGAAAAAUAAUUAUUAAAGGAAAUAAAAUAUAUAAAAAAUAAUAAUUAUUGUAAAGUGGAAAUUACAAGUGCAUUUUGCAACAACAACAAGCAGGAGAAGGAGGAAAAUCCAAUUGGAAUCGGAAAUAUUGGAAAAUAAAUUUUUCUAGUGUGGAAAUAUCUUACUUCUGCAGAAGCUCUCUCUCUCCACGAUGCCCCAAGGAUUAACGAAUUGUCCCCGUUACGCCUACCUCUAGCCACAACGGACGUGAAUCGAAGCAAAAAAAACGUUCGAUUUGUUACGGUACGGUACGCGUCUAGCUAGCUUUUCGAUACGGUAUAAAGCUGCUCGAAAAACGCUCGCGCCAAUAGAUCGUCGCAAUUUCAUUAAUCGUGUAAUCGUAACGUAAAGUUUGCGUACCUUACUUGAAAAUGUACGGCGUGAUAACGUAGACGCGGCUGGCUAUAAAAAUGUUUUCGAUGCGAAAUGUUGUUAAGAAUUGAAUUUGGGAAAAUUUGAGUUAUAAUAAUAUCGAAAAUCAUUGCCGAU